AACGAACGCUGGCGGCAUGCCUAACACAUGCAAGUCGAACGAGAUCUUCGGGUCUAGUGGCGCACGGGUGCGUAACGCGUGGGAAAUCUGCCCUUUGGUUCGGAAUAACAGUUGGAAACGACUGCUAAUACCGGAUGAUGACGAAAGUCCAAAGAUUUAUCGCCAGAGGGUGAGCCCGCGUAGGAUGAGCUAGUUGGUGUGGUAAAGGCGCACCAAGGCGACGAUCCUUAGCUGGUCUGAGAGGAUGAUCAGCCACACUGGGACUGAGACACGACCCAGACUCCUACGGGAGGCACCAGUGGGGAAGAUUGGACAAUGGGCGAAAGCCUGAUCCAGCAAGGCCGCGUGAGGGAUGAAGGCCUUAGGGUUGUAAAGCUCUUUUACCCGGGAUGGUAAUGACAGUACCGGGAGAAUAAGCUCCGGCUAACUCCGUGCCAGCAGCCGCCGUAAAAC
rnacentral:rRNA from 1 species